GUUACUUUGGCAGAAUAGUGCUUUAAAUUUAGAAUUUAAUUAUGUAUAAUAAUACAAGUAAUA
rnacentral:tRNA from 2 species